UACAGAGGUGGCAAGCGUUGUUCGGAAUUACUGGGCGUAAAGGGCGCGUAGGCGGCCUUCUAAGUCAGACGUGAAAUCCCCCGGCUUAACCUGGGAACUGCGUCUGAUACUGGGAGGCUAGAGUAUGGGAGAGGGAUGUAGAAUUCCAGGUGUAGCGGUGAAAUGCGUAGAUAUCUGGAGGAACACCGGUGGCGAAGGCGGGUCUCUGGGCAACAACUGACGCUGAGGAGCGAAAGCGUGGGGAGCGAACAGG
rnacentral:rRNA from 1 species